UGCUCCUUAAGCAGGUAGGUAAACAAUUCAAAAGAGCUUCAGGAAGUACCUGAAACUGACCAGAUUCACUAGACCCCUUCCUGCCAGAGUAAGCAAUAAAAGCUGAGAGUCUCACAGAAGAUCAGAAGCAAGCAGAAGACUCUCACAAGGUGGGCUGAAAACUCUCCACAACCUUGAGCCAAAAUGAAUCUUUCCUCCUUUAAAUCGUGAUGAGAAACGUCUGAUUUUACUCUUGUUAAAAUAAAUUCCUUCUACUUCAGUGCAGUUAAAUGAAGAUCAAGAGAAGAAGUCUCAGAGGAAGGAUUUUCCAACAUGGUGGAAAUGAUGUGAGAAUCAGUGGUGUCCAAUCUUGAAGGUAUCUGAAGCUUUUCAAGGUUAAGGAGUUUGAAUUGACUUCCUCAACAUGAGCAACUGUCAAUAUGGCAGCAAUGGCCAGAGGGAGAAAGAGAAGAAAGAGAAGGAAGAAGAGCAAGAGUAGAAACAAAGAGACUUACUCAUGGACUUGUGCUUCCUCGAUGCCCCAUUUCUUUUUUUUUUUUAAUUUUACAAUACUAUUCAGUUCUACAUAAUAGCCACAGAUUCCCUUGUUCUCUCCCUUCCUGCCCCCCUCCCCUUCCCCCCAGCCCAUCCCCCAUUCCCACCUCCUCCAGAUAAUGUGUAAACUGUGUUAUCACUGAAAAUUGCUCCACAUGUUUACAAGAUACCACAUCCUAGCAAAACUAUAAUAUGUGAUGAAGUUUUUGCAUUCAAAAUGUACUUUUCAUCCACAAUGUUCCC